ACAUUAGAGUUUGAUCAUGGCUCAGAUUGAACGCUGGCGGCAUGCUUUACACAUGCAAGUCGAGCGGCAGCGCGGGGGCAACCCUGGCGGCGAGCGGCGAACGGGUGAGUAAUACAUCGGAACGUACCCAGGAGUGGGGGAUAGCCCGGCGAAAGCCGGAUUAAUACCGCAUACGAUCUGUGGAUGAAAGUGGGGGACCUGCAAGGGCCUCACGCUUUUGGAGCGGCCGAUGUCCGAUUAGCUAGUUGGUGGGGUAAAGGCCUACCAAGGCGACGAUCGGUAGCUGGUCUGAGAGGAUGAUCAGCCACACUGGGACUGAGACACGGCCCAGACUCCUACGGGAGGCAGCAGUGGGGAAUUUUGGACAAUGGGGGGAACCCUGAUCCAGCCAUGCCGCGUGCGGGAAGAAGGCCUUCGGGUUGUAAACCGCUUUUGGUCGGAAAGAAAAGGCGCACUCUAAUACGGUGCGUUCUUGACGGUACCGGCAGAAUAAGCACCGGCUAACUACGUGCCAGCAGCCGCGGUAAUACGUAGGGUGCGAGCGUUAAUCGGAAUUACUGGGCGUAAAGAGUGCGUAGGCGGUACU
rnacentral:rRNA from 1 species